AGAGUUUGAUCAUGGCUCAGGAUGAACGCUAGCGGCAGGCUUAAUACAUGCAAGUCGUGGGGCAGCAGUCCCGUAGCAAUACGGGAGCUGGCGACCGGCAAACGGGUGCGUAACACGUACGCAACCUUCCCGUUACUGGGGGAUAGCCCAGGGAAACUUGGAUUAAUACCCCAUAUUAUAUGGAUCAGGCAUCUGGUUCAUAUCAAAGCUUCGGCGGUAAUGGAUGGGCGUGCGGCUGAUUAGGUAGUUGGCGGGGUAACGGCCCACCAAGCCUACGAUCAGUAGCUGAUGUGAGAGCAUGAUCAGCCACACGGGCACUGAGACACGGGCCCGACUCCUACGGGAGGCAGCAGUAAGGAAUAUUGGUCAAUGGACGAAAGUCUGAACCAGCCAUGCCGCGUGGAGGAUGAAGGUCCUCUGGAUUGUAAACUUCUUUUCUCUGGGGCGAAAAAAGCCUAUUCUUGGGCACUUGACAGUACCAGAGGAAUAAGCACCGGCUAACUCCGUGCCAGCAGCCGCGGUA
rnacentral:rRNA from 1 species